UAAGUCGGAUGUGAAAGCCCCGGGCUUAACCUGGGAACUGCAUUCGAUACUGCAUAGCUAGAGUAUGGAAGAGGGAAGUGGAAUUCCGGGUGUAGCGGUGAAAUGCGUAGAUAUCCGGAGGAACAUCAGUGGCGAAGGCGACUUCCUGGGCCAAUACUGACACUGAGGUGCGAAAGCGUGGGUAGCAAACAGGAUUAGAUACCCUGGUAGU
rnacentral:rRNA from 1 species